CCUACGGGGGACAGCAGUGAGGAAUAUUGGUCAAUGGGCGAGAGCCUGAACCAGCCAAGUCGCGUGAGGGAGUACUGCCCUAUGGGUUGUAAACCUCUUUUGUCGGGGAGCACAAGCCGGACGUGUCCGGCUGUGGGAGUACCCGAAGAAAAAGCAUCGGCUAACUCCGUGCCAGCAGCCGCGGUAAUACGGAGGAUGCGAGCGUUAUCCGGAUUUAUGGGGUUUAAAGGGUGCGCAGGCGGAUUUUUAAGUCAGCGGUAAAAUCGUGGGGCUCAACCCCAUCCAGCCGUUGAAACUGGGGAUCUAGAGUGUGCGAGAGGUAUGCGGAAUGCGUGGUGUAGCGGUGAAAUGCAUAGAUAUCACGCAGAACCCCGAUUGCGAAGGCAGCAUACCGGUGCACAACUGACGCUCAGGAACGAAAGCGUGGGUAUCGAACAGGAUUAGAUACCCCAGUAGUC
rnacentral:rRNA from 1 species